rnacentral:hammerhead_ribozyme from 1 species
CUGACGAGUCCCAGAUAGGAUGAAACGCGCGUC